AAAGAAACCAACAGGGAUUGCCUCAGUAACGGCGAGUGAAGCGGCAACAGCUCAAAUUUGAAAUCUGGCCCUAGGCCCGAGUUGUAAUUUGCAGAGGAUGCUUUUGGCGCGGUGCCUUCCGAGUUCCCUGGAACGGGACGCCAUAGAGGGUGAGAGCCCCGUCUGGUUGGACACCAAGCCUCUGUAAAGCUCCUUCGACGAGUCGAGUAGUUUGGGAAUGCUGCUCAAAAUGGGAGGUAUAUGUCUUCUAAAGCUAAAUACCGGCCAGAGACCGAUAGCGCACAAGUAGAGUGAUCGAAAGAUGAAAAGCACUUUGAAAAGAGAGUUAAAUAGCACGUGAAAUUGUUGAAAGGGAAGCGUUUAUGACCAGACUUGGGCCGGUUAAUCAUCCAGCGUUCUCGCUGGUGCACUUUGCCGGUCCAGGCCAGCAUCAGUUCGCCGCGGGGGAUAAAGGCUUCGGGAACGUAGCUCUUCGGAGUGUUAUAGCCCGUUGCGUAAUACCCUGCGGUGGACUGAGGUUCGCGCUCUGCAAGGAUGCUGGCGUAAUGGUCAUCAACGACCCGUCUUGAAACACGGACCAAGGAGUCGUCUUCGUAUGCGAGUGUUCGGGUGUAAAACCCCUACGCGUAAUGAAAGUGAACGCAGGUGAGAGCUUCGGCGCAUCAUCGACCGAUCCUGAUGUUCUCGGAUGGAUUUGAGUAAGAGCAUACGGGGCCGGACCCGAAAGAAGGUGAACUAUGCUUGUAUAGGGUGAAGCCAGAGGAAACUCUGGUGGAGGCUCGCAGCGGUUCUGACGUGCAAAUCGAUCGUCAAAUAUGAGCAUGGGGGCGAAAGACUAAUCGAACCUUCUAGUAGCUGGUUUCCGCCGAAGUUUCCCUCAGGA
rnacentral:rRNA from 1 species